GCGAUUUCUGAAUGGGGAAACCCGGUGCACUUCGGUGCAUCAUCGUUAGCUGAAUACAUAGGCUAACGAGGCGAACCGGGGGAACUGAAACAUCUAAGUACCCCGAGGAAAAGAAAUCAACCGAGAUUCCCCCAGUAGCGGCGAGCGAACGGGGAACAGCCCAGAGCCUGAAUCAGCUUGUGUGUCAGUGGAACGGUCUGGAAAGGCCGGCGAUACAGGGUGACAGCCCCGUACACGAAGGCACACAGGCUGUGAGCUCGAUGAGUAGGGCGGGACACGUGAUAUCCUGUCUGAAGAUGGGGGGACCAUCCUCCAAGGCUAAAUACUCCUGACUGACCGAUAGUGAACCAGUACCGUGAGGGAAAGGCGAAA
rnacentral:rRNA from 1 species